UGUUCAGGAGUGGGGGAAGGAUGGAGCGGGAGAUCUGCAGGAGGAUCGGUGCGGCGUCUGCAAUGAUUCGGACUCUACAUCGGUCUGUCCUGGUGAAGGAGGAGCUGAGCUGAAAGGAGAAGCUCUGGAUUUAACGGUAUAUAUA